rnacentral:rRNA from 1 species
GAUGAACGCUGGCGGCGUGCCUAAUACAUGCAAGUCGAGCGAACGGACGAGAAGCUUGCUUCUCUGAUGUUAGCGGCGGACGGGUGAGUAACACGUGGAUAACCUACCUAUAAGACUGGGAUAACUUCGGGAAACCGGAGCUAAUACCGGAUAAUAUUUUGAACCGCAUGGUUCAAAAGUUAAAGACGGCCUUGCUGUCACUUAUAGAUGGAUCCGCGCUGCAUUAGCUAGUUGGUAAGGUAACGGCUUACCAAGGCAACGAUGCAUAGCCGACCUGAGAGGGUGAUCGGCCACACUGGAACUGAGACACGGUCACGACUCCUACGGGAGGCAGCAGUAGGGAAUCUUCCGCAAUGGGCGAAAGCCUGACGGAGCAACGCCGCGUGAGUGAUGAAGGUCUUCGGAUCGUAAAACUCUGUUAUUAGGGAAGAACAUAUGUGUAAGUAACUGUGCACAUCUUGACGGUACCUAAUCAGAAAGCCACGGCUAACUACGUG